UCCGGAGAGGAUGCCUUAGAAACGGCAACCACAUCUAAGGAAGGCAGCAGGCGCGCAAAUUACCCACUCUCAAUUCGAGGAGGUAGUGACAACAACUAACGAGACUGCGUCCUAUGGGCGCAGUCAUCGAAAUGGGUACAAUUUAAACCCUUUAACGAGGAUCUAUGAGAGGGCAAGUCUGGUGCCAGCAGCCGCGGUAAUUCCAGCUCUCAAAGUGUAUGUCAUUAUUGCUGCGGUUAAAAAGCUCGUAGUUGGAUCUGAGCCCGUGGAUACAGUUCACCUCUGUGUGAUACUGUCAUCCUGGGUUAAUUUCGUCGGUCUUCCGGCGAGAGUUACUCUGAACAAAUCGGAGUGCUCAAAACAAGCGUUUCGCUUGAACGUUUUUGCAUGGAAUAAUGGAAAAGGACUUCGGUUCCUUACUGUUGGUUUCGGAAUUGGAUUAAUGAUUAAGAGGGACCAACGGGGGCAUACGUAUCGCUGCGCGAGAGGUGAAAUUCAUGGACCGCAGCGAGACGACCUACAGCGAAAGCAUUUGCCAAGAAUGUCUUCAUUAAUCAAGAACGAAAGUCAGAGGUUCGAAGGCGAU
rnacentral:rRNA from 1 species